UCAUGAAUGGAUAUUUCAUAUCUGCACCACAAAAAAUCAUACAAAAGAAUAGGAUCAAAUGAACAAAAGUAGGGUAAAAUUAAACUAAGAGCCGAAAGAAUACAUCUUAUAAUUUUUGUCCUGCACUUGCAUCCACAAAGAUGAGAACUUUUAGAGGAAUAGUAAUGAAAGUUCACACAAAGAUCUAAAUUACCUGAGUCAAUCUUUGUUGCCACUG
rnacentral:misc_RNA from 1 species